GCCUGGCUGGCUCAGUUGGAAGAGCAUGAGACUCUUGAUCUUGGGGUUGUGAGUUUGAGCCUCACAUUGAGUG
rnacentral:tRNA from 1 species